UUUCAUCUUGUGGCUCUACCAUUCCCUAGGGUCUGAAUCCAGGCAGAAGCUGAGCGAGAAUGUGGAGAAAGCACAUCAACUCUGUUUUGCCCAGCCUCUGCGUGUGCUCAGGCUGUGUUUGAUCAGCUCAGUUUCUGUUUGGAGUCAAGGACCUUCUCCCACCCGUUUAUUCCUGGCCUUCUCCUGGAUCUGCAGUGAAUUUGCGUGUAAGGCUGAAUUCAUAGCCUGAGGACAUUCUCUCAGCAGCUCCUUGUAAUGAUCUAAAUAUAGACACCUCACCUCCCUGCAGAGCAGGGAGGAAGAAAGAGACUGCUUUGCAGACACCUUGCUGUGGCAUCCUUUGUCUAAGGCCAGAGGAUGGGGUUCAAGUCUUGGCCUCUCAAUUUACUCUCUGUGUAACCUUGACAAGUCACAAGACCGUUAGUACUGUUUCUUCACCUGUAAAAUGGGAACAGUUGCUCUGUUGCCAUAAUGAAAACAGAUCAUGAGUCCAAAAGAGUUUUGUAAACUGUAAAGUGCUGUACCAAUGUUAGUGAUAGUAGGCAGGAUCUGUUGGGGGAUUUAAAGCACAGGCUCUGGAGCCAGAGUGUCUGAAUUUGCACAGGCUGUUGUGAGAUUGAGUGAGCUAAUGUAUGUAAAGAGCUUAGCACACUGUCUGGCCUAUCGUUCCUGCUCAGUAGACACUGGUGGCUAUUACUGCUGCACGCAUGCAUGCCUCUGGUUUUCCAUAUGCUGUGUCUCUGUCCCUUCUGUUUCAUCCAGCUGCAGUGGCUUUUCCCCAUCUCCAUGGGUGGGGUUCCUACUCAUCCUUGGAGUCUCAGCAACAGGCCCACUCCUCUGGGAAUCCUGCCCAGGGUGGCAGGUUGUACAAAUACGGGGAGUGCUGUUCACAUAGAAAAUGUGAAUGGCUCCUCCUGCAGUUGUGCCACAUGGCAGAACAGCCUGGUAUCACCGUGAGAAAUCAUCCUCCAGAGUCUGAAGUUCCUGUAAGUCAUCUCUGUACUAAGACACUUGGGUGAAUGCCUCAUUUCUCUUACUGGCAGAGAGUUCUCCAUGGGCAGGGAAGGUUAGCUUGGGUUAUGCUUGCUGCUGUAACAAACAAGUGCCCCUCAUGAUGUGAUGCCUUGCACCACCUCGGGGCUCUGCACCACCAGCCAGAAGGCUCUCAACAGAUGCAUGCCCUCAGUCUUAGACUCCUCAGCCUCCACAGCUAUAAGAAAUAAGUUCUAUUUCUUCAUAAAUCACCCAAUUUCAGGUAUUCUGAUAUAAGUAAUAGAAAAUGGAUGAAUAUACUCAGGCUGUGCUCUCAGGGGAACCCAAACAUGUCACCUGCGUUCUCCAAAUGAGGGGACUGAGAUUCUGAGGGUUUAUUUAUCCAGGGCCACACGGCUGGUGAGAAGCUGAGCCAGGAUCCAAAUCCAGGGGUGUCUGAUUUAAUUCUGGGCUCUUUCCACCACUCUGCAAGACUAUCCCACAAAAAUAGUAAGCAAGCACGGAAAUGUUGGGAGUAGGGUGCUAAUGCUAGGGGUAAAAACUGAAAUUGCUGUUCUGAAAUUGCUUUCGCUUCCUUCCACAGAUUCACAGAUACAUAUGUCGAAAAUAAGAGAAAAAAAGAGAGAAGGAGGGGGAGAAGGAGGGAUAAGAGGGAAAGAAAAGGAGAGAAGGAGAGAGAAGGAGGGAGAGGAUGAGGAGGAAAGACUCACAGAGAGCAAGAGAUCACAAUAGAAGCAGAAAGAGGCAGUGGAAGAUGUUGUUCAUUUAUCCAAACCUCCCCUCAUCACUCCUACUCUUUAUUUUUUGAAGCAAAUAAAAUUAAAUGCAAGUAAACCCAGCACUUCCUUUAGUUGGCCUGUCCCCACUUCCUGUCAUAUGAACAUUUGUUUUUAGAGAUGCUGUUUCCAGGCUACUUUUGGGGGGUGGCAUGUGCCAGAGUUGGGGGACAGAGAAUAGAAAUGUACCUUCUGUGAGCUAGGUAUGUGUACAAGCAUUGCCUCUUAAAAAUACUUUUUUUAUUAUAAAAAUAAAAAACACAGAAGAUGAAGA
rnacentral:lncRNA from 10 species